CCUACGGGUGGCAGCAGUGAGGAAUAUUGGUCAAUGGACGCAAGACUGAACCAGCCACGCCGCGUGCGGGAAGACGGUCCUGAGUGUUGUAAACCUCUUUUGUAAGGGAGUAAAGCCUGGGACGCGUACCCGGAUGAGUGUACCUUAAGAAUAAGGAUCGGCUAACUCCGUGCCAGCAGCCGCGGUAAUACGGAGGAUGCGAGCGUUAUCCGGAUUUAUUGGGUUUAAAGGGUGCGUAGGCGGUGUGUUAAGUCAGCGGGGAAAUCCCGGGGCUCAACUCCGGCACUGCCUGUGAUACUGGCAGUCUCGAGUUGAGUUGAGGUAGGCGGAAUGUAUGGUGUAGCGGUGAAAUGCAUAGAGAUCGUGCAGAACACCGAUUGCGAAGGCAGCAUGCCG
rnacentral:rRNA from 1 species